UUUUUUAUUUUUUUUUUUUGUAAAUAAUGUGAUAUCCAAAGUUUAGAUAGGAGAUCAUUUGAAAAAAAAAAUUAUUUAAAAUAAUACUGUGACACUUUUUGUGAUUCGAUAUAUGUGAAUAAAAAGAUAGCUGAAUAUAUAAAAAAUUAGUUGAAAAAUGUGUUUAUGAUACAAGUCAAAUAAUAUUGGAAAUAAAUGUUCAUAUCCAAACAGACCCAGUCGAUCCUGAUUGGGAAAAAAAAUGUACAUUUCAUAUGACAAGCCUUAAAUCUAUUUUAACAACACGUGUAGGGCUUAUAAAAAAAUAUACUAAGUUGAUAUUAUGUUCAAGUUGAUUUACAUUCUGAACGUGAAUAUAUUUUGUUAAAAUGCACGAAAUCAUUCCCAGACCAUUACACUAGUAAUCAUCCCUGUCUUAUGUCUAUUUUUUACUACAUAAAAGCACAUAUUCACAUUUACUUUUCCUUGCAUCUAGACUCUUUUUCAAGUUAAUCUCCCUUUUGUUAAAAAAAAAAACUAUUUUAGAUCGGGCACCUAUUAUUAUUUUUUUCUUUUUUUUUUCGAUUGGGAGGUAUCCUGGUCAAUUGACCAAACUAAUCCCCCCAGGCUGGAAGAGCCCGCCCUUGCUCCUGAAGAGGAGGCUAAACUCUUUUAUCAAUUGAAAGUAUUCAGACAUAGCACUGAGAUUAAACCCAAAGAAUUAACACCUCAAAUAUUUCUUAACACGGAGAAAACCUUUUUAUUAAUUGAAUGUAUUUAGACAUAGAAAAGAGAUCAGAUCCAUCAAAAGUUUGCAAUUGAAGUCAAAGCAUUAUAAUAAGAAUAACUAUUAAUCUAAAACUAGACGGGGGAUCGAUAAGUUUGUUAUUUCCUUCCGGUUUGUAACAGGAAAUUAAGGACUAUGAGGUGAACUGAUAAAGAUUUGUACGUUUAGCUGUUUCAUACUUAGACAUGUCAUAGGAAUAUUUUGCCAUAUCCAUACAAUUGUGACUUGACACAUAAAUGGAGGUCUCAAGCAGCCCUAUGAAAUCGAAUCUUAAUUCAAGAACCCACCGCAUAUAUUGAGACUUGAAAGAUCUUGGCCAUAUCAUGGAACCUGCUGCUGUCACAAUCUAGUUGCUGCAUUUUUCAUUUGUUUAGUACAUUAAUUGAAAUCGAUUUAUUGGCUACAAGCAGGAAAAUUCUGCUAAGAGAAUAGUGAAUAUACCGCCAUAGCUUUAAAUAAUCUAAUUGAACCAGCCACAAAGGAACAAUUGCAAGAUGGAGCUGAUGUCCACCGUCCACUCCAAUUCAAUUCACAAGGACUUGUAAAAAAGUUCCACUGGUUUACUUUGCAGAGCAAAACAGUUGUGCAAACACAAAUGGAAAAAGCAAAUCAAGAAGGAAAAAAAAAAUUACAUCCCAUUAUAAUUUAGCUUGAAUUCUGUUGUAAAAUAUGUUAAAUGCGUAUCUUCUCCUUUGCAUUCCUUUUUGGCUGAUUUCCAA
rnacentral:lncRNA from 1 species